AAAAAAAAAUUAAUCAUGAACCUAUGCUUUUCAAAUUCCUUAAAAUUUAAUCUUUCCUUAAAAUUUAAUCUAGCCAAUAAAGUACCAUACACUUUAAUCCUAGGGUUUUUAAAUGGAAUUUUGGUUUCUGAGACUAAAAUGUAGCAUAUAUGAAAACUCAGGGAUUGUUUCACUUAAAAGCGAUUAAAGCACAAUUGAUUGUAUUUUCUAAAUGAACUAGAUCAACAAAUGCCAGGGAGUUUUUGUCAUUUA
rnacentral:misc_RNA from 1 species